rnacentral:lncRNA from 1 species
GUAUGAUCUUCAACUACAGCAGUUAGCCACGCUAUAAUUAUGAAGGACAUGAUCAAUAUCCUCAAUAGGGUCGUUACACCUACUGCAUUCCGCAGUAGAGGACAUGUGAUGUUGGUAUCUCUCCUAAUUCAUCAAAAGCUUCCCCGUAGCAACCAACCAGAGGAACGUACGCACCCAUUGAGCACCUGGCCAAUGCCAAAUGUCUCUCCAAUUCCUAUCCUCUGGGUGGCAAUAAUCGCUCACUAGAAGGGCAUAAGCAAGCUAACCGAAAAGCACUUAGAGAUUGUCAUACUCCAAAAGCAAGAGUUCGGGAUAUUGUCAUCUCUAGGGGUCAGUACUGCAGCCAUCU